rnacentral:piRNA from 1 species
AAUUGGUCUGUUGAAGAUAUUGUU